rnacentral:rRNA from 1 species
UACGAGGGGAGCAAGCGUUGUUCGGAUUUACUGGGCGUAAAGGGCGCGUAGGCGGCGUGACCUAGUCACUUGUGAAAUCUCCGGGCUUAACUCGGAACGGUCAAGUGAUACUGUCGUGCUAGAGUACAGAAGGGGCAACUGGAAUUCUCGGUGUAGCGGUGAAAUGCGUAGAUAUCGAGAGGAACACCUGCGGCGAAGGCAGCUCGCUGGGACGGUACUGACGCUGAGGCGCGAAAGCGUGGGGAGCAAACAGG